ACGCUAGCUACUGGCUUAACACAUGCAAGUCGAGGGGCAUCAGGAAGAAAGCUUGCUUUCUUUGCUGGCGACCGGCGCACGGGUGAGUAACACGUAUCCAACCUGCCCUUUACUCGGGGAUAGCCUUUCGAAAGAAAGAUUAAUACCCGAUAGCAUAAUGAUUCCGCAUGGUUUCAUUAUUAAAGGAUUCCGGUAAAGGAUGGGGAUGCGUUCCAUUAGGUUGUUGGUGAGGUAACGGCCCACCAAGCCUUCGAUGGAUAGGGGUUCUGAGAGGAAGGUCCCCCACAUUGGAACUGAGACACGGUCCAAACUCCUACGGGAGGCAGCAGUGAGGAAUAUUGGUCAAUGGGCGCUAGCCUGAACCAGCCAAGUAGCGUGAAGGAUGAAGGCUCUAUGGGUCGUAAACUUCUUUUAUAUAAGAAUAAAGUGCAGUAUGUAUACUGUUUUGUAUGUAUUAUAUGAAUAAGGAUCGGCUAACUCCGUGCCAGCAGCCGCGGUAAUACGGAGGAUCCGAGCGUUAUCCGGAUUUAUUGGGUUUAAAGGGAGCGUAGGUGGACUGGUAAGUCAGUUGUGAAAGUUUGCGGCUCAACCGUAAAAUUGCAGUUGAUACUGUCAGUCUUGAGUACAGUAGAGGUGGGCGGAAUUCGUGGUGUAGCGGUGAAAUGCUUAGAUAUCACGAAGAACUCCGAUUGCGAAGGCAGCUCACUGGACUGCAACUGACACUGAUGCUCGAAAGUGUGGGUAUCAAACAGGAUUAGAUACCCUGGUAGUCCACACAGUAAACGAUGAAUACUCGCUGUUUGCGAUAUACAGUAAGCGGCCAAGCGAAAGCAUUAAGUAUUCCACCUGGGGAGUACGCCGGCAACGGUGAAACUCAAAGGAAUUGACGGGGGCCCGCACAAGCGGAGGAACAUGUGGUUUAAUUCGAUGAUACGCGAGGAACCUUACCCGGGCUUAAAUUGCAGUGGAAUGAUGUGGAAACAUGUCAGUGAGCAAUCACCGCUGUGAAGGUGCUGCAUGGUUGUCGUCAGCUCGUGCCGUGAGGUGUCGGCUUAAGUGCCAUAACGAGCGCAACCCUUAUCUUUAGUUACUAACAGGUUAUGCUGAGGACUCUAGAGAGACUGCCGUCGUAAGAUGUGAGGAAGGUGGGGAUGACGUCAAAUCAGCACGGCCCUUACGUCCGGGGCUACACACGUGUUACAAUGGGGGGUACAGAAGGCAGCUAGCGGGUGACCGUAUGCUAAUCCCAAAAUCCUCUCUCAGUUCGGAUCGAAGUCUGCAACCCGACUUCGUGAAGCUGGAUUCGCUAGUAAUCGCGCAUCAGCCACGGCGCGGUGAAUACGUUCCCGGGCCUUGUACACACCGCCCGUCAAGCCAUGGGAGCCGGGGGUACCUGAAGUACGUAACCGCAAGGAUCGUCCUAGGGUAAAACUGGUGAAAGG
rnacentral:rRNA from 1 species